rnacentral:rRNA from 1 species
CACGUAGGCGGCUUCUUAAGUCGGUGGUGAAAUCCUGGAGCUCAACUCCAGAACUGCCUUCGAUACUGGGAAGCUCGAGUCCGGGGGAGGUGAGUGGAACUGCGAGUGUAGAGGUGAAAUUCGUAGAUAUUCGCAAGAACACCAGUGGCGAAGGCGGCUCACUGGCCCGGUACUGACGCUGAGGUGCGAAAGCGUGGGAGCAAACA